UAAAAAUAACCAGAGUAGAAGGAUAUAAAUGC
rnacentral:piRNA from 1 species